rnacentral:rRNA from 1 species
GAUGAACGCUGGCGGCGUGCCUAACACAUGCAAGUCGAACGAAGCACCUUACCUGAUUCUUCGGAUGAAAGUUUGGUGACUGAGUGGCGGACGGGUGAGUAACGCGUGGGUAACCUGCCCUGUACAGGGGGAUAACAGCUGGAAACGGCUGCUAAUACCGCAUACGCGCACGAGGAGACAUCUCCUUGUGUGAAAAACUCCGGUGGUACAGGAUGGGCCCGCGUCUGAUUAGCUGGUUGGCAGGGUAACGGCCUACCAAGGCAACGAUCAGUAGCCGGUCGGAGAGGAUGAACGGCCACAUUGGAACUGAGACACGGUCCAAACUCCUACGGGAGGCAGCAGUGGGGAAUAUUGCACAAUGGGGGAAACCCUGAUGCAGCAACGCCGCGUGAGUGAAGAAGUAUUUCGGUAUGUAAAGCUCUAUCAGCAGGGAAGAUAAUGACGGUACCUGACUAAGAAGCUCCGGCUAAAUACGUG